AGAGUUUGAUCCUGGCUCAGAUUGAACGCUGGCGGCAUGCCUUACACAUGCAAGUCGAACGGCAGCACGGGUGCUUGCACCUGGUGGCGAGUGGCGAACGGGUGAGUAAUAUAUCGGAACGUACCCUAGAGUGGGGGAUAACGUAGCGAAAGUUACGCUAAUACCGCAUACGAUCUACGGAUGAAAGUGGGGGAUCGCAAGACCUCAUGCUCAUGGAGCGGCCGAUAUCUGAUUAGCUAGUUGGUGGGGUAAAAGCCUACCAAGGCGACGAUCAGUAGCUGGUCUGAGAGGACGACCAGCCACACUGGAACUGAGACACGGUCCAGACUCCUACGGGAGGCAGCAGUGGGGAAUUUUGGACAAUGGGGGCAACCCUGAUCCAGCAAUGCCGCGUGAGUGAAGAAGGCCUUCGGGUUGUAAAGCUCUUUUGUCAGGGAAGAAACGGGAUUUUCUAAUACGGAGUCCUAAUGACGGUACCUGAAGAAUAAGCACCGGCUAACUACGUGCCAGCAGCCGCGGUAAUACGUAGGGUGCAAGCGUUAAUCGGAAUUACUGGGCGUAAAGCGUGCGCAGGCGGUUGUGCAAGACAGAUGUGAAAUCCCCGGGCUCAACCUGGGAAUUGCAUUUGUGACUGCACGGCUAGAGUGUGUCAGAGGGGGGUAGAAUUCCACGUGUAGCAGUGAAAUGCGUAGAGAUGUGGAGGAAUACCGAUGGCGAAGGCAGCCCCCUGGGAUAACACUGACGCUCAUGCACGAAAGCGUGGGGAGCAAACAGGAUUAGAUACCCUGGUAGUCCACGCCCUAAACGAUGUCUACUAGUUGUCGGGUCUUAAUUGACUUGGUAACGCAGCUAACGCGUGAAGUAGACCGCCUGGGGAGUACGGUCGCAAGGUUAAAACUCAAAGGAAUUGACGGGGACCCGCACAAGCGGUGGAUGAUGUGGAUUAAUUCGAUGCAACGCGAAAAACCUUACCUACCCUUGACAUGUACGGAACUUACCAGAGAUGGUUUGGUGCUCGAAAGAGAACCGUAACACAGGUGCUGCAUGGCUGUCGUCAGCUCGUGUCGUGAGAUGUUGGGUUAAGUCCCGCAACGAGCGCAACCCUUGUCAUUAGUUGCUACGAAAGGGCACUCUAAUGAGACUGCCGGUGACAAACCGGAGGAAGGUGGGGAUGACGUCAAGUCCUCAUGGCCCUUAUGGGUAGGGCUUCACACGUCAUACAAUGGUACAUACAGAGGGCCGCCAACCCGCGAGGGGGAGCUAAUCCCAGAAAGUGUAUCGUAGUCCGGAUUGUAGUCUGCAACUCGACUACAUGAAGUUGGAAUCGCUAGUAAUCGCGGAUCAGCAUGUCGCGGUGAAUACGUUCCCGGGUCUUGUACACACCGCCCGUCACACCAUGGGAGCGGGUUUCACCAGAAGUAGGUAGCCUAACCGCAAGGAGGGCGCUUACCACGGUGGGAUUCGUGACUGGGGUGAAGUCGUAACAAGGUA
rnacentral:rRNA from 1 species